ACGCAUAUUGACUCCCAGGCGGUCGAUUGACAUUCUGAGAGAAGUGCAUGAUGCGAAGGAGCAAGGGAGGCCAUAUGUUAUUGUUUUCAUAGGUGUCAAUGGGGUUGGAAAAUCCACCAACUUGGCCAAGGUUGCAUAUUGGCUCCAGCAGCAUGGCCUCUGUGUCAUGAUGGCAGCAUGUGAUACAUUUAGGUCAGGUGCUGUCGAGCAGCUCCGAACACAUGCUUGCAG
rnacentral:misc_RNA from 1 species